rnacentral:rRNA from 1 species
GACGUAGGGUGCGAGCGUUGUCCGGAUUUAUUGGGCGUAAAGAGCUCGUAGGCGGUUUGUCGCGUCGUCUGUGAAAACCCAUGGCUCAACUGUGGGCUUGCGGUCGAUACGGGCAGGCUGGAGUUCGGUAGGGGAGACUGGAAUUCCUGGUGUAGCGGUGAAAUGCGCAGAUAUCAGGAGGAACACCGAUGGCGAAGGCAGGUCUCUGGGCCACUACUGACGCUGAGAAGCGAAAGCAUGGGGAGCGAACAGG